GUAGUGCAGGAGUCAGUGGGAUAUCAUGUUGAUAUCAGGUAGUGUAGGAGUCAGUGGGAUGUUGAUAUCAGGUAGUGUAAGAGUCAGUGGGAUGUUGAUAUCAGGUAGUGCAGGAGUCAGUGAGAUGUUGAUAUCAGGUAGUGUAGGAGUCAGUGAGAUGUUGAUAUCAGGUAGUGUAGGAGUCAGUGAGAUGUUGAUAUCAGGUAGUGUAGAGUCAGUGAGAUGUUGAUAUCAGGUAGUGUAGGAGUCAGUGGGAUGUUGAUAUCAGGUAUUGUUGGAGUCAGUGGGAUGUUGAUAUCAGGUAGUGUAGGAGACAGUGGGAUGUUGAUGUUGAUAUCAGGUAGUGUAGGAGUCAGUGGGAUACCAUGUUGAUAUCAGUUGGUGUAGGAGUCAGUGGGAUGUUGAUAUCAGGUGAUAUAGGAGUCAGUGGGAUGUUGAUAUCAGGUAGUGUAGGAGUCAGUGGGAUGUUGAUAUCAGGUAGUGUAGGAGGCAGUGAGAUGUUGAUGUCAGUUAGUGUAGGAGUCAGUGAGAUGUUGAUAUCAGGUAGUGUAGGAGUCAGUGGGAUGUUGAUGUUGAUAACAAGGUAGUGCAGGAGUCAGUGGGAU
rnacentral:lncRNA from 1 species